CCGCAAACGCGGAUCCAACGCGCAAGACUCCUAGGCGGAUCCGCAUAGGAGUCACCAAACCCGCGUUACUGUCACAUUCGUUUUGGCGCCGCCCAGAGGAUCCGUGUCGGAUCCGCGAACGCGGACGCGCCAUAACGUUUGAAAGCCUAUCACCAAGAGCCGAGACGAUCAUAUCAUUUGAGAUUUUCUUUGCUGGAACACGGUUGCUAACCAGAGAACCCAAUGUGCACCGAAUUCAGAGAAUCACCCAGCUGCCAUCAGCGAGGACCAUGAGCCAAACUGGCCAAAAUAUGAUAUGACGAUCAUCAGAACUUGUGACAACUACAAAGAUGCCUGUAGGAUUAUGGAGCAGUAUCAGACCGGCUGCAACACCUCUGAUCUACAGUCUGAGGCAGAGCAGGAGUGCGGGCCACCAGAUAAGAGACAAAGGAGGCCAGUCCAUCGUUUCGGAAACCCUGACCAGAGCGAAGAAGAUGUGGAAGAUAUAGUGUCUCAGUUGGAAGCACUACCAGUGCUUCCACGCCCAAGCCAAUUGCCCCGGCAGACUCCACUAUCUCGCCGAGUGCCAGGCAGUAGAUUCAGUCCUCCUCAACCUGGAGAAAAUUGUCCAGCACCUCACCAUGGGGCAGGACUGCAUCACCCUGCACCCGCUUUGAACAUGCAGAGAGUUACUCAAGUUGCUGUGAGGAAAAACGUGGUGACACGGUCAGCCACCGACGCGGAGGUCACCAAACACGCCAUCAGGUGGUUCAACCUGGCGUCGGAUCGAGCGGCGAGGAGACGUGUCCCUCCUCCAUCCACUCAUUUGACCCAAUGAAUAACAAUUAAACAAUCUUUUGAUUGAACUUCUUGUCGUUCACCAG
ensembl:lncRNA